AUGUGCCUUGAAGCUUUCCAUGACUUCCCCUUUGCUGCCAGGAGACUGAAAAGUCUGAUGCCACGGAGCAGAAGUCUGAUGCCACAGAGGAGAAAUCAGAAGCCACAGAAGAUAAAUCUGAUUCUAAGGAUGAAAAAUCUGAUGCCACAAAUGAAACUGAGGCACACACAGGAGACAAGGCAGAUGAAGGGGCCCCUGAAGAGGCUCAGUCUGACCAGACACCACCAGAAGAUCAACAGGAAGGCAAGGAAGAACAUGCAGGAACAGGGGAAGAAGAAGAAAAGCAGGGAGAGGGAGAAGAAAAAGAAGAGGUGGAGGAGCAGGAAGAGUCUUAGUACAGUUCUCUAUGACACAAUAUUUCUUGAACAGGUUUUCAGGAAGCACCAGCUGGAGCCACCCCACCAAAGAAAAGAAAAUCCCUUUCCCAAGCAAAGCACCACUACCUUUUGUGCCUGUAUGAACACAAAAACAUAAACAGAACACAGACACCACUCUGUCCCACCUGCAGCAUUUAUCUAUAUAUUUGGUAUUCCAGAUGCUUGUUAAAAUGGAUCUCAUGUCUGACAGAUGGUAUUUCAGUCAAUUGUUAUGUGUUGGGAUAGUUUUGUCCGUGUCACAUUUAGAUUGUGAGCUCCCCAGGGCAGGAACCACGUCUCUCUCCAUGUCCAAACACUGCCAAGCACGCUGCUGCCACUCAGCAGCCGACUGCACUCACACACUGACGUCUUCAGAGGAAAAGAAAAUCAGCACUGAAAACUUCAAAGAGGCUUCCUGUACACAAGCCAUGUGAGUCACUUCUCCCUCAGCUGGCAUUUGAAAAUGAUUGAGAUUCCCAUUGUGCAGCAGUUUAAAUAAAUGUGUUUUCUGUCGUAUCUGCUCUUUGUCU
rnacentral:lncRNA from 1 species